rnacentral:rRNA from 1 species
AUGGCUCCACCGCCGCCCGCCCCUACGCCGGCGGCGAGGCUACUGAGGGAGUACGGGUGGGACCUGAUGCUCGGAUCGAUCGCUGCGUUCUACGCCGUCAUGGUGCCUUACACCAAGGUGGAGGAGAGCUUCAAUGUGCAGGCCAUGCAUGAUAUUCUGUACCACAAUCAUCACAUCGAGAAGUAUGACCAUUUAGAGUUUCCUGGCGUUGUUCCUCGGACAUUUAUAGGAGCAUUGAUAAUAGCUAUUCUCUCGUCGCCUGCGGUUCUCAUAAUGCGUGUAUUCCAUGUUCCAAAGAUUUAUAGUCUUCUAGCAGUCCGAUUAGUAUUGGGCUAUGCUAUCCUGACGACUUUGAGACUUUUCCGAGUUGAGGUCAAAAGAAAGUUUGGUCGCCAUGUUGAAGCAUUCUUUGUGGUACUAACUGCUAUCCAGUUUCACGUUUUAUUUUACUCAACUCGGCCUCUUCCAAAUAUAUUAGCAUUGGCUUUAGUUAACUUGGCAUACUCGUUCUGGUUCAAGGGAAAUUAUCUACGCACAUUACAGGCACUGAUUGUUGCAGCCGUUGUUUUUAGAUGUGAUAUGAUUCUACUUCUUGGUACAAUAGGGGUUGCACUUUUGCUGAGCAGAUCUUUUUCUCUAAUGGAAGCCAUAAAGUGUUGCAUAAGCACUGCUCUUUUAUGCAUUGGUUUCACGGUACUGGUUGACUCGAUAAUGUGGCAGAGAAUCCUGUGGCCAGAAUUUGAAGUUUUCUGGUUUAAUUCAGUUCUGAACCGAAGUUCAGAAUGGGGUACACAUUCGAUCCAUUGGUACUUCACCUCAGCACUUCCGCGCUCCAUGCUUGUAGCCUAUCCUCUUUGCUUGGUUGGUGCUCUUCUUGAUAGGAGGAUAGUGCCAUACGUGCUUCCAGUCACCUUAUUUGUUGUACUCUAUUCGAAACUUCCACAUAAGGAGCUUCGUUUCAUAAUUGCCGCAGUUCCCAUGCUUAAUGUGUCUGCUUCUCUGGCCGCAAACAGAUUAUAUAAUAACAGAAAGAAAAGUGGUUGGAAUUUCCUUUAUGUUCUCAUGCUUGGUGCCUUUCUUGUCAGUCUUGGAUACUCUGCUGUGAGUUUCAUGGCCUCCUACAGCAAUUAUCCUGGUGGCCAUGCUCUGAAGGCUCUACAUGAAGCAGAUUCUUCUAUGAAGGAAAAAAUGGUCCACAUUGAUGUCUUAACCGCGAUGAGUGGGGUUUCUCGUUUCUGCGAAAAUGAAUACCCUUGGAGAUACUCGAAGGAAGAGGACAUUUCCAUUGAAGAAUAUCAGAACAGAAAUUUCACCUAUCUACUGAAUGAGCACCGCUACGUUAGUGGCUACGAGUGCUUGUUUGGCGUGGAGGGAUUCUCCAGAGCCAGAAUUCAACCCCGGUUUCCACCACUUUCCCUGGUGAAAGUGCCGAAAGUGUUCGCACAUGGGAACACGGGAGAUCCCGGUAUUCUCUCGCUAGACUGGCCCGGCUGCCCCUGA